CAGAAAUUUGACAACAAAACAAAACAAAGCGAGAUAUGUUGAGCCAACAAAGAAGACGCAGUUGGAAAAUGGAGUUAUUAGUAAUGAAGUAGCAGGCAUAUUUGGAAAGUUAUGCCGAUAAGAAGGAUGGAAUUUGUGAAAGUAAUUUAAUUGUUUAUAGAAAUGUUAUAAAUC